CCAAGGCAAAGAAUUUGUCAAUUCUCUCAACAAAAGGGUUUGCGGAUUGUUAAAAAUUAAAAGAAGCCUCUGCUCCCCCUAUCACCCACAAACAAAUGGGCUGGUGGAGAAAAUGAAUGGCACCAUCCAGAGAGCCCUGUGCAAAGUUGUUGGCGACCAUCCAGAAAUGUGGGAUGAGUAUCUGGAUGCUGUAAUGUUUGGAAUCAGAACUAAAAAGCAAGUGACCACCAAAUACUCA